UACGUAGGGUGCAAGCGUUAAUCGGAAUUACUGGGCGUAAAGCGUGCGCAGGCGGUUAUGUAAGACAGUUGUGAAAUCCCCGGGCUCAACCUGGGAACUGCAUCUGUGACUGCAUAGCUAGAGUACGGUAGAGGGGGAUGGAAUUCCGCGUGUAGCAGUGAAAUGCGUAGAUAUGCGGAGGAACACCGAUGGCGAAGGCAAUCCCCUGGACCUGUACUGACGCUCAUGCACGAAAGCGUGGGGAGCAAGCAGG
rnacentral:rRNA from 1 species